UGUAAAACUAGACACUAUUUUGUGAAGAUUUUUCUUUAUAAUUCAGUAAAUAAUUGCUUCUUUGGCUGUAAAUUUGACUUUUGUAAAUUUCUAGGUUGUUCUAGACUUUGUCGAUGCUGCACAGUUCUCUUAGCAGCCCACUUCUAUUUCGUAUAGCAGAGCUUGAUAACAGGUUUGGGUCAGUCUCAAUUGCCAGUGGAUAUUACUUUGUUUCAAUUUAUUCAUCUUUUUUCAAAUUUUUGUGCAAAUAUUUUUGAAACCCAAGUAAUUCAAAGUUCAAAUUUAUGUGUAAAUUGAUAGGUGUGGGUGUGGACACCCAAUAUGACUUUUACAUGGUGUUGCUAUCUGGUUUCACAUAAUUAUACUGGGAACCGUCGAAAUUUUGGUUUAGCUGCAGAUAAAACAAAAUCAAAACGUUACAAAGUAGAAGAUACAUUGAUAAUAGAUUUCGUAUCAACUACCAUGCGUCCAACUACGUACCUUCUUCGUUUAAUUUAAAAUGGUCUGCAAUGACAUCCAUCGUAUCAAAAAGUUCGUUCACCUAAUUUAUACUUUUCAUGUAAAAUUCUUACAAAAAGUUUAAACAUCUUUCAGUUUAAAUAA